GCCUUCAUAGCUCAGUGGAUAGAGCACUGGUCUUGUUAACCAGGGGUCGUGAGUUCGAUCCUCACUGGAGCUCUGGCC
rnacentral:tRNA from 1 species